AUCUCGAGCAGUCACUUGCUUGUUGAUCUUUCUUAUUCUUCUUGUAAAGCCACUUUGCUCGAUGCGUCUCCAAAGUGCGCACUUCCAGUCUGCAGCAGCGCUCCGCAGACUUCCCGCCGGGCUGCGCUCCCUUAUUUCUGGAGGCGCAGCGACAAUCAGCCCCAACAGGAUUGGAGCCGAAUGCGGUGCGCGCUCGCCGUCUGCGCGUUUCCCCACAAAUCACACCGGAUGGAAGUCGUGAUGAAAACUGAACGGAUGCGGGAUCGCUGUCAAGUGUCCAAAAGGAGAGAGGAGGACGCAGACUGCGCUGCAAACCGACGGAGAGACAAACUGGCACCAUAAAGGGUCUCCCUGCAGAAACACGCUGCAGUGAUCACGGAUGCUCCGCGCAAGAAGUUAAAGCCGGUUGAUUUGUAUUAUGCAUCUGAUUUCUUAUCGCUGUUUUGGAUCAAAGGAUAAGAGCUGUGAUCCCUCUGAGAGAAGUUCAAAUGCGCAACAUCC